UACGAGUACCCCGAGCGUUAUCCGGAAUUAUUGGGCGUAAAGGAUGUGUAGGUGGUUAUAUUAGUCUUGUGUAAAAGCUUCCGGGCAUAACCCGGAUGGAGCACAGGAAACGGUAUGACUAGAGGUUGGGAGAGGUAAGCGGAACUCUAUGUGUAGGGGUGAAAUCCGUUGAUAUAUAGGGGAACACCAAAAGCGAAGGCAGCUUACUGGCCCACACCUGACACUGAAACAUGAAAGCGUGGGUAGCGAAUGGG
rnacentral:rRNA from 1 species